UUUCUUCUAAAGCUAAAUAUUGGCCAGAGACCGAUAGCGCACAAGUAGAGUGAUCGAAAGAUGAAAAGCACUUUGGAAAGAGAGUUAAAAAGCACGUGAAAUUGUUGAAAGGGAAGGGAUUGCAACCAGACUUGCUCGCGGUGUUCCGCCGGUCUUCUGACCGGUCUACUCGCCGCGUUGCAGGCCAGCAUCGUCUGGUGCCGCUGGAUAAGACUUGAGGAAUGUAGCUCCCUCGGGAGUGUUAUAGCCUCUUGUGAUGCAGCGAGCGCCGGGCGAGGUCCGCGCUUCGGCUAGGAUGCUGGCGUAAUGGUUGUAAUCCGCCCGUCUUGAAACACGGACCAAGGAGUCUAACAUCUAUGCGAGUGUUCGGGUGUCAAACCCCUACGCGUAAUGAAAGUGAACGGAGGUGAGAACCGCAAGGUGCAUCAUCGACCGAUCCUGAUGUCUUCGGAUGGAUUUGAGUAUGAGCAUAGCUGUUGGGACCCGAAAGAUGGUGAACUAUGCCUGAAUAGGGUGAAGCCAGAGGAAACUCUGGUGGAGGCUCGCAGCGGUUCUGACGUGCAAAUCGAUCGUCAAAUUUGGGUAUA
rnacentral:rRNA from 1 species